rnacentral:lncRNA from 1 species
AGCCGGCUCGCGCGCGCGCGCUCUGCAGCCGCCCCCGGCUCGCUCGCCCCUUCCCGCGAUCUCCUGGCCCCGCCUUGGCGGCUGCGGGCUCCUACUCGCCCGCGGGACUGCACGCGAGCGUCUUGCGGACUGCGCUCUCGCCCCCAGGAGAGACAGGAAGGCUCGCGCCACGCCGGGCGGAGCCGCGGCCGGAGCCCGGGCGUCCAGAGCGCGGUGUCCAUCGCUGUGCACCGGCGGCGCCUCAGGCAGCAGGAGGGCGGCAGCCGCGAGCGUAGUCGGAGAAUGUUAAGGAUUAUUUUGAAUGUAGCUUGAGUAAAUCCUACAGUUCUUCCAGUAACGCACUCGGGAUUGACCUCUGGAGAGGGAGGAGGUGUUGCUCAGGAAACUUACAGUUACCACCACUGUCCCAAAGACAAAAUGAAAAGGCAAGGACUCCCGAGGGAGAUGGCAUUUGCCGGCCGACCACGCUACCAUUGACGACACUUCCAAGCAUUGCUAUUACAACUGUAAGCCAGGAGUGGUGAGUAUCCUCAAAAUUAAAUAUCAAUUCUAAAAUUUUACUUUCCAGUUACUCCAAAUAUUGUUUCAU